UUUCACUUUGACGUAUCGACGACCUAAGCUUCAGGUGGGCCGGGUCGAAAUUUAAACCUUGGUGGUGGAACAUUUGAUGUCAGUAUAUAUUUUGACUUGAUAAUGGUGCUUUUAUGGUUCUUACGACAAAUUGAGGCAUUCAUCUUGGAGGGACUUAUUAUGUGAGGACUUUGACCAAAGGCUCAGCAUUACGAGC